rnacentral:rRNA from 1 species
UACAGAGGUCUCAAGCGUUGUUCGGAUUCAUUGGGCGUAAAGGGUGCGUAGGUGGCGCUGUAAGUCGGGUGUGAAAUUCGGAGCUUAACUCCGAAACUGCAGUUCGAUACUGCGGUGCUUGAGGACUGGAGAGGAGACUGGAAUUCAUGGUGUAGCAGUGAAAUGCGUAGAGAUCAUGAGGAGACCAGUGGCGAAGCGGGUCUCUGGACAGUUCCUGACACUGAGGCACGAAGGCCAGGGGAGCAAACGGG